ACUAUUAUAACACAGCCAGUGUCAACUUGGAUUGAAAUAAAUUUCAAGUUAUCUCUCAAUUUUCCCCUCUGCUUUGUACGUACUUUCGACAUUCACAAUUUUGUUUGUUUAUGCAUUCGCAUAGACAGCUGCAUUGGGAGAGCGCACAAUUUAUGCUUCAUCAAAAGCCGAACAUGGCCAAAAGUCAUAAAAUUGAAGCAACGUCGCAAUCUGAAUCUGCAUACGAUUAUCAUUCAUUCAUCAUGCGAUAGUCAUACGCAUAUCCGGCAUUUCUUCUUCUUUCCUCUAUCUCUGGUCUGCACUUCGAACGUGCGCAUAAUUAACACUUGUCGAUCAAGUCGAUUCAGCUCUAGUUGACAAAGCUGCACCUGAGGUGGGAGUUUAAUGUGACGACUUCGAAAUACCCUCACCAUCUAGUGAAACUCUAUUGCAUUGCAAACGACUUCCGCUCAUUAAGGUGGAAAAUGCGUGGAGCUCAAACAAAUGCAAAUGCUGCUAAGAAGUGGAAGUAUAAAUCAUUACAUAAUAUUAAGAGACUAUAGAAAAGAUAAGAAACACGAUGCUUAUAGCUACUAUAUCUACUAUAUAGCUUCCACUGAAACCAACUGAAGGAUGUGCCUUUCGCCUACUUUCACGGAAUAUAAGUGCAAAUAUUCAAGCAAACAAAGUAAGCUAAUACAAAAAUGUAAAUCUAGUUCAGACAUGAAAAAUUGUGCAAAUAUUUGAUUUUGGGGCGGAAUGUUUGGGGCGUUAAGGUGUCAGCAGGGCGUGUGCCGCUGUCGUCUAUGCGACAUUAAUUUACAGUUUGUCUAUAGUUAAGAACAUGAAAACUCAUUAAAACAUGCUGCAGAUAAGAAAACGCUAACGACAACAACAGCAGCAGCAGCGGCAACAACAACAACAACAACAACAACGGCAGCGAGAAGAAACUGGCAAUAAGACGUGGCUAUAAUUCAGUUGCCAGCAAGCCACAAAAACACACUCGAAACGUGACACAGUCAACAAUUUAUUGACACUUUCAAGACACUUGGCCAAUGCGUAUACCCUGUGCAUAAAUCAAUAUUUUUAUGGGGUAUAAACCAACUGAGCUAUUCGAUUUGCUCAGCGAAGAGUUGCAGUUGCUCUAAAGCGCUAACAGUUUGAAAGUCACUGACUAAUUUCGACUAUUUCCGAGUCUAGUCGUAACUAUUUUACCUCUUUUGUCUGGGAAAACUGGAUAAGUUCGUUAGACUCGCUUUUCUUAUUAUCUGUGGGCAGAGCCUAAACCAAUCAAUAUAAUAUUUAUAUGUUCUGCUUGUAAUAGAUAAUACUCUAAUAGAUAGUUCUGGUCUAGAU